GACGAACGCUGGCGGCGUGCUUAACACAUGCAAGUCGAGCGGUAAGGCCCUUUCGGGGGUACGACGAGCGGCGAACGGGUGAGUAACACGUGGGUGACCUGCCCUCAGCUCUGGGAUAAGCCUGGGAAACCGGGUCUAAUACUGGAUAUGACUCCAUGACGCAUGUUGUGGGGUGGAAANCCUUGUGCGGCUGAGGAUGGGCCCGCGGCCUA
rnacentral:rRNA from 1 species